rnacentral:sRNA from 1 species
AAAAAAUUCCAUGUCAUUAUCCACGUGAUGUGCCACGUAGGCAAGACCACAGUCAAAUGCGGCUUUGAACCGGAAUGAUAUAAUAAACCAAGUUUAGGGAUCUCGAUGUGCACUUUGCAAGUUCGUGGAUCUAAGUGAAACCUCCUGACAAGUUUAAGAACCGCUGGUGUAUUUUACUCAAUGAUUUUUCCAGUAGUGACCCCAAAAACGUUAAUGUGUAUAUAACUUGGGAAGGAAACACACUCUACAUUUGUAUAGAGUAGCACUUAGGGAAAGUCAUGUCAUCCCUUAACAUGAUAUACCACCAUUACUUGCAUACCAAUUAAUUAGUAAUGAUUUUUUUUAAAAAAAAUUGCUAACGUAAUUCAUUAUGUUAUAUCACUCCAUAAACAUACAAGUUUAAAAUCAACUAGAACCUGGGGCGUGCCGUUGGCGCGCCACCUGAGCGGAAUUACGGUGGGCAAGAAAUGGGUAAUUAGCAAAGACGCCAGAUGAUGAGAUAUAAAUGUAAGUAUUCUUUGGUGUUAAAAAAGAGAGCAAGAAAGCAGGAAGUGAAAUAGAAGUAAACUGCAGUGCCAAACAGUUAUAGGCAUACCGAUAUCUAGUAGUCUUUAGCAGCAACAUGGAUAUACACAGACGUUUCUUAAAAUGUCCAAGCUAGUGCACUAUGGAUAGUAAGCACCUAAGGUGUAGAACUAAUAAGCAUGGUAACAAUUCCAGGGGAGGGAAGCGGCCGAUCCUGAUAGUGAUCAGCUUGUUUACUGGCAGCAGAAGCAUGAUCAUAAGAUAGCUAUGAAUGCCCAUAUGGUCUUCACAGGACAUCAAUAGUAACCUCCAGGCAGGUUGUCCUGUAGAAAUGGAAGAUGCAAACUGAUCCGAGAGCUAUGUCAUCUGUGCUGCGAACUUUGUCCACCCUUUCUUCAAGUUGCAACGGUCAUCUGUUGAAACGUGGAGGAUCAUGCUGGUUGAAAUACCUCCUGCUACUUGUACUUCAGUGUCGACGGUUUUUUACCUUCCAUUAGCGGUUUUAUGUAGUUCUGUGAAAAUUCCUUUGUAAAGUACUGUAAUUGCACGGUAUGUUAGUUCUUUAUUAGUGGUAGAAAAGCAAUAUUAUCAUGAAUGAUAGGGGUGGGAAAAAUAAAUAAUUGUUGCAAGAGCUU